rnacentral:lncRNA from 1 species
UGAAGAACCUUGGAAAGGUAAACUUUCUUGAUAUAUCUGAUUGCUUCAGCAUCAAGGUGUUGCCCGAAGACAUUGGUGAAAUGAGUAGUUUAAGAAGGAUCAACAUGAGGCAAUGCUUACGGUUGCAGGAGCUGCCUCCAUCAGUCGUGGAUCUUGAGCAGUUAGAGGAAGUGGUCUGUGAUGAGGAGACAAAAUAUUUAUGGGAAUCUUUCUUGUCGUGUCUCAACAACGUAAGGAUAAUUGUGGCCAAAGAGAAUAUCAACCUAAAUUGGCUCCACAAGACUCAGUUCUGAUAUAUGUGUAUCCUCAGUGAAGGUUGUUCUUUAAACUCUUUGGUUUGUGUUUUUAGUGGGGCUUAUGGAAACUCGACUGUAACAUAGUUUCAAAUUCAAUCGCUGUACAUUUGCUUGACUUUCUUGUUUGAAAAUCUGUAUGUGUAAUCCAACGCCACAAUCUGAUUCAUGUUCUCCCAAAAUAAAUUCAACGCCACAAGGUUGAAGAGUCCCAUAAAAUAAAGAACUUUCAUGUCACGGGAUCAGGUGUUAAUCUUGUUGUGGAUAAGUUUCUUUGGUAUUUAUAUUAAGGUCAAGUGGUCAAGUUUCCAGAACUGUUCAUAUAAUCGAGAUGUUGUUGAACCAUAUAUUUACCCAAAGAAAAUAUAUUAAUAAGAAAAAAGAGAAUCUCUACAACUCAUACACGCACGUGGACCUCGAUGUGUGACAAGUUUGAGUUCGUGUAUGUAUGGAACUCUCCCAAAACUCUCACGUUCUCCACUAGGUGAUGGCCUUCUCUCAACCUCUCUACAUCCUCGGAAAGUGGCACACGUAACAGAGUGGAUAAGGAUCUCUGAACUGCUCCUUGCGUCUAUAAAAUGACGAAGGCUAGAUUCAAAUAAAAGGAGGAGACUGACGACCAAGAGCUGAGAGAGGGUCAAGAGGGCAGCGGAGGAGAGAAGAACGAAAACUGCAAAAAUAGAAAGAGGCUUAACAGAAAGAGAAGAAAUGAGCAAAGGGCUGUAAUUACGCAGAACUUUCACGAGGAAGAAGAAUCAAAGGUAAAAGUUUUAUUCUUCUUUAUUAUUUAUUUCCUUACACUAAUCUCCACUUCAUGGCACGGGACCUUCGAAGCAAAGUUAGUUUCCUAGAUGCUCCUACAAGGAGAUGCUCCAGUGAAGGACCUCUCUCUAUAACAAAUCAAAAUGGUUCCAAUCCCUCUUUGCCCUAGAAGCAAUCUUCCGGAUCAAAGCCGCUGGGCAAGAAGAAAAACCAGAAGCAAUAACCCUUCUCCGCUAUCAAAGUGCUCUUCGAAAUUAGACUGACAAGGUUAGCUUUCCUGUGAUUGUAGCAGUUUGGCAUGCAAGAACAAAAAUGGUUCCUGCCACAAGAAAAGCACAGCAAUUCUUGCCUUUUUUUCGAAAGAACGUAUCCAAUUGGCAUAGAAGGAUGGUCGAAGUCUUCUCGUCAAGACUUUCUCGGCACAGCAUAUCUGCACGCAGACACAAAGGUGCCGGAAAGUAAACUCCUUCAAGGUGUUCAUCUUUAGCGGCUCAGAUCUACUCAUCAAUCAUUUUUUCGGCACAGCAUGUCUUCAUGUAGACACAAAGGUGCCGGAAAUUGAUCUUUACAGGGAAUGUCGAAACCUACUCGUCAAUAAUUUAUUCGGCAUAGCCUGUCUCUAUGUAGACACGGAGGUGCCGGAAAGUGAUCUUUAAGGGAAAAGUCUAAAUCUACUUGUCAAGAAUUUUCUCGGCACAACAUGUCUCCUAGUACACACGGAGGUGCUGGAAGGUGAUCUUUACAGGGAAUCAUGGACGAAGCCAAUGAAGGCUCACUGAGGGCAGAUGCUCCCACUCAAGUAAUUCAUUUGUUUAGUUGCAAACUACAAUUAUAUAAUAUACACAGGUUAUUUUUCAAGAAAAUAUAUGUAUCUAAUAUCUAACAUACAUUCAUUCUACUUAUACUCCAUAUCAAAUAUUAUAUGAGCAAUAGUGCUCUUGUUCUAUCAUUCAAACCGAAAAAAUCAUCUCCCGCCUAUCAUGUACUUAUAUUUUUCUCAUCACUUAGCCACUUUCCACUACUAUAUUGAAAUUUUUGUAACAUUGGAAUUGUGAUACAUCAUCAUUUGAAACCAUCCUUAAUAUCAUACUGUGUACAACCAUACUAUAAUAAAAUUUUCUUAGUUAUUUUUUGUUGCCCCCACUAGAAGAAAUUUUUGGCUUCAUCUCUACAGGGAAUGUCGAAAUCUACUUGUCAAAAAAAAAAAUUUCACCACAACAUGUCUCUAUGUAGAUACGGAGGUGCCAGAAAGUGAUCUUUACAAGAAAAGUCGAAAUCUACUCGUCAAAAAUGUUCUUGGCACAACUUGUCUCCACGUAGACACAGAAGUGCCGAAAAGUGAUCUUUACAGGAAAGGUCGAAAUCUGCUAAUCAAAGAAUUUCCAGCACAACAUGUCUAUAGGUGGAUGUGGAGGUGCUAGGAAAUUGACAUCUCUACACUAUGACAUUUGUACACUAACACCAGGGCCUGCCCAGGCCCAGUGCAGGUAGGGCUAGCAUUCGGGGUCCAAACAAAUUGGGGGCACCAAAAUGAUUAGGGUGAUAUAUUGAUAUAUGUUUUCAUAAGAGUAUAAAUUUAUAAAAUUUGGCUCAAUGAUAAAAAAAAUUAAUUAGAAGUGGUGGUAUUGUCAUUUGAAAUUAAUGAGGAGGUCACGGGUUCAAAACAUCAUAUGUGCUUAUUUACUUUUCAAUUUUUACAAAUUUCUUUUCAUAUAAGUAUAAAUUUAUAAAAUUUGGUUAAAUGAUCAAUAAGUUUAAUUAGAAGUUGUUGAUGCACAAAAUCUGGUGGAUCUUGGACCAACGUAAAUCCGGCCGUGAAUCACAUAAACGCACAAGAACACAAAGAUGUAUCGUGGUUCACCUCAAUGUUUGGGCUACGUCCACACUGAUGUUGAUUCCAUUUUACUGUAUGAAUGUAUAGAUUACAAUAGAUCGGCAAAUGAGCUCUCUGUGGAUGCAGCCCUUGCUAUUUUGCUCUCUAUGGAUGCAACCCUUGCCAUUUUGCUCUCUGUGGAUGCAGCCCUUGCCAUUUUGCUCUCUGCAAGGGAGCUCUAUUGUUGUGAGGGAUGUGAGACUCUCUUCUUUCUUCGCUCUUUGUGAAGGUGAGGACGAUCCCUUUUAUAGAGUAAGGGUGUCCUCCUCUUACAUAAAUCAUGGGCUCAAUAUCGAGGCCCAAUAUAUGGUACAACAGGAGUCCCCCAAGUCUUUAGUCAAGAGAGUCUUUUGGCUGGAGACUUUAAAUCCAAUCCAAGUACGAGCCGAAGUGGCUAGAUGUCGUCCAGAACUGGUACUUUACAUGAGACGAUACUUAACGUCAAGCAAGACUCAACUAGAGGUAGCACACGUUGCGAGGCUACUCGGCUAGAGGCGAUGCUUUCAGCGAGACGGUUACUCGGCUGGAGGCGGUGCUCGUUGCGAGGCGGCUCGGCUUGUGGCAUUCCUCGUUGUGAGUAUGCACUCAACGUCAGCGUGUGCUCAUUAUGAGUUGAUUCUUGAUAUGACUUUGGUCCACUUGUCGAGUUCGCAUAUUGGGUCUAUGUGCCAGAUCCUCGAAUCGGGUCCAUAAAUCGGGUCUUUGAGUCGGGGCCAUACGUAGGGUCAUCGAGUCGGGGCCAUCUAUAGGGUUUUUGAGUUGGGUCCGUGAGUCGAGGUUCGAGCUCAAGGGUGUCCAGGCACAUAAGUGUCCAAACAUGUGAGUGUUCGAGCAAGUGGGUGUCCGAUCAGACAAGAGAUCACCGUUCAAACUAAAUCUUUGUCACCAUAAGCAUGUGGCUUAUCAGUCUAUAAGUUGGUAAGCUUCUUUAAUCAUUGGCAAUGUUGAUCAACAGAGCUAGUUGCUCAAUAAUUCCUGACAAUAAAUGACAGUAUAAGUACAAACGUAUAAUGAAUAAAUCAAAUUAACAUAGUUUGGUAAUGCAAAAUAUUGUACCAUGUGCCUACUACAAAUAAAUAAUUUAUUAAGUUGUGUAGUAAAUCACAUGUUGCAUAAGUGACAUAGUUAAUGAGCAGUCAUUGAAUCACUCGGCAAUGAAUAAAUAUUUACACAAGUAAGUGAAAUAUGAGCCAGUACAUGUGAUAAUUAUGAGGUGAAUACCACAAAAUGAAAGGAUGUGAUGUCUGAUUAUGUCACAUGGCAUAGGAAUAGUGAUGUGCCGAAAGACUAUCAGCAUUAUAAUAAAAUAUUUAAACACACAUAUUUGUAUUGUGUAGUGUGCAUAAGCCUGUGAUACAUCACCACAACUUUAAAUAAUAAAACUUUGUGUGAUGUGCUUUGCCACGUUAUUGAUAGUGAUCAUGUGAUAAAUAUCACAAAAUAAUAAAAUAAUAAAUAAAUAAUUUGAGAAAACAUGAUGUAAAAAGUAAAGCUUUUUUUUUUUUUUUUCUUUUGGCAGAUGGCAGACAAAGGAAAAGUAAAGCUUUUUUCUUUUCGCAGAUGGCAGACAAUACCAAAAGGGAAUAAUAAUAGAAUUAUUAUGAGAAAGCUUAUUUUCUUCCUCUCUACUGUCGGUCUGGUUGAAGGUUAUGGCUUCCUUUGAUUACUUUUGGGUUGACAUUUCUGACGGAUUAAAAAAUCAAAAUCAAAUAAUAAAAAUCUAACUUGUUUUGGAAGAUGGAAAUAUGUCAGUGGUGUUGAACUUUCGGUCGCCGCCGUCUUCGGUGGUGGCUAAUAGGAGGAGUUUACCACCGAGCUUGGGCGAGGGCGAGGGCCUGGACUUGGGCGAGAGUGCUGACUCUAGAGAUGCAGAAGCGGAGGUCGAAGGUGAUGACGGCCUCCAAGAUCUCACUGUACUUGUCGAAGUGCUCUCUCAAGGCCUCUUUGGGAAUCUCCCACGCCAACCCUCCGACAAAGACUUUGGUUAGUGUGGUGUCACCAAAUACUAGGAGUAGUUUGGCUCUGAGAAGCAGCACCAUAAGGGAUGCAGCAAGACAUGCAUACUGAGGUCGUGCCUGUAUUGGAUCGGAUGGUGGAGAUGAGCUGCAACGGCUGCCGAGUGCUCCGGAAGGGAUGCAGCGACACAUGCAUACUGAGGUCGUGUCUGUACUGGAUCGACUCUCCCGAAGCCCAAGGCAACGCCACCUUGUUCCUCGCCAAGUUCUUUAGCCACAAUGAUCUCCUCUCAUUCGUCUUCGUCGUACCGGAAAACCAACGCCCCGGUAAACAACCAAUUAAUUAAUUAAACAAUAUUGCAAUAAUUUUACACGAUUAAUAUUUGCCAUUAAUUAAUCCAUAUUUUCCUUUUUCUCGAUCAGCUAUGUUUCAGUCUCUGCUGUUCGAAGCGUGCGGCCGCAUGGUGAACCCGGUGAACGGAGCGGUGGGGCUUCUGUCGAGUGGGAACUAGCACGUGUGCCAGUUGGCGGUCGAUACGGUGCUGUCCAGCGACGCUUUGAGGCCAUUACCGGCUUUUACUAUGCCUGCCUUCGACGAGUCUUCGAACGCGUUUAGCAGAGAAGCAUGCACGCCGAAAAAUCGCUACUGUCCGUCGGCGUCGGCAUACUACGACGUGGAGCGAAUUUAGCCGUUCGAGGAGGCGGGGCUCUCUCUGAGGCCGAAUCUCGUGGCGGCGGAGAGAGGAAGAGGGAGGGGAAUGUGGAUCUGCGUAAGUGCCUCGAUGGAUCAGCGACGGAGGGAUACAAUGUCGUUUGAUUCGGAGGAGUCGAUGAUGACUACGACAACGACGAAGACCUUUGAAAGCAGUGGCGGUAAUCUGAAGGAUCGCAAGCUUCUGAACCUUUUUGUCUAAGUACUAUUAACCUAUGAGAGAGAAAUUUAUGAGAGAGAGAGAGGUGGUUGGAAGUAUGUGAAGGUUUUCUGGAAAAGCCCAAAAAGUGAGGUUUUUGGGUUCUUGGGUUGUGCAGAUUCACGGUGGAUAGAUGAAAAAAAUGAAAGAGAACCGACAUGGUUUUUCGUGUCGUUUCCCACAGACGGCGCCAAAUGUUGAUGCACAAAAUCUAGUAGAUCUUGGACCAACGUAAAUCCAGUCGUGAAUCACACAAACGCAGAAGAACACAAAGAUGUAUCUUGGUUCACCCCAAUGUUUGGGCUACAUCCACACUGAUGUUGAUUCCAUUUCACUAUAUGAAUGUAUGAAUUACAAUAAAUCGACAAGGGAGCUCUCUGUGGAUGCAACCCUUGCCAUUUUGCUCUAUGUUUGGCUGAAAGGGUAUUGCCCUCUAUUGUUGUGAGGGAUGUGAGACUUUCUUCUUUCUUCGCUCUUUGUGAAGGUGAGGAUGAUCCCUUUUAUAGAGUAAGGGUUUCCUCCUCUUACAUAAAUCAUGAGCUCAAUAUCGAGGCCUAAUAUAUGGUACAACAAAAGCAAUGGUUUUUAUUGUUUAAAAUUAAGGAGAGGUCCUAAGUAGGGGUGGUUCGGUAUGGGAUCCCAUACCGAAACCCUUGUCUCGAUUCCCAUACCGAAAUUUUCGGGAAUCCCAAUUUCAAUACCGAUCCCAAACCAAAUUUUCGGGAAUCCCAAUUUUCGGGAAUCCCGAAAUAGUUUCGGGAUUUCGGGACAAAUCGGGAAUCCCGAAAUAAUUUUGGGCUUUUGGGCUUUUGGGCUUUUGGACAAAAAAAAGCUAAUAUUGGUCCAAUUGGACAAAAACCUAAUAUUGGGCCAUGCCCAUUGAAUGUAAUAGCCCCAUAUGGGCUUAACUUGAUUCAAUCAAAUAAAAAAAUUAUUGGGAUAAUUGAUGUUGGCCCGGGUCUGCCAAUUUGUGUUGUUAUGAAAAUGUAGGGUUCACAAAGUUUUGGGUAACAUCAAUAUGUGUUGUUAGGACAAAAGCCUAUGAAAAUGUAAUUUACCCUAUUCAAAAGCAAUCUGCCAAUUGCCAAUCUGUGCACAAUUGCAUAUGCCUAUUCAAGUUCUACUACACAUGCAUGCAAUAAAAAUAAAUUAAGUACCAAAUCCAAAAGCAAAAAUAUUAGUUACAAGCCAAGGUUUUAAAAUAAAUAAAGUAACAAACCCAAAAGCAAAAAAAUUAGUUACAAUCCAAAGUUUUAAUAAUUAAGUUACAAACCAAAAGCAAAAAAACAAAGUUUCAAGUUUAUGAAGAUUGUUGACUUCUUCGGCCCCUUCGGCCCUUCUUGUUGGCACUUGUAAUUUUCCCCUUGAUAUUGAUGGUUGAGCCCUUCCCCUUACAAUGGGUGGUCGUGGUCAUGGAGGUAGUGAUUGAUUUUGACGUUGUUGAACUUGUACUUGAGGUGGUCGAGGAGAUGGAGGUGGCAUUUCAUUUUCUUGUGUUGUAUUCUCCUCACCUCCCAAAUUAGCCAUGUCUAAAACAAUAAACCACAAAUCAUUUACAUUAAAUUAUAGUCUAAUAGAUAAUAAAUACUAAAAAAAUAAAAGAUGAAAUUAAAUUGUUUACUUACUUCUUUCUAAGCGUUCAAGCUCCUCGUAGAAACAUAAUUCGUCAAGGGUAGGCUCCUUGUAGAAACAAAAUUCUUUUCCUCUAAGCCAAUCACUAGUACACACUAAAGCCUCAACCGUUUUAGGUGUUAAGGAAGCUCUAAAAGGAUCAACAACUUUCCCACCAAGACUAAAGGCAUUCUCACUAGCAACGGUGCUACUAGGAAGGGCCAAUACAUCCUUAGCAACUUUACUAAGAAUUGGAUAUUGACCACAAUUUCCUUUCCACCAAUCCAAAAGAUUGAAACCCUUAUAUGUUAGGCUUUGAUGUGGAUCAUUGAAGUACAUAUCCACUUCAUUGGCUAUCUCAUUUUGUUGUGCCUCCGCUCUCUUUCUUUGGAUCUUCUUUGCCAUCCUUGAAGCAACAUCAAUAUCUACCAUCACACCCCCCCGCCCCAUCAUCUAGUACAACACUUGAUCUUUGCUCCACAUUUGAGGUAGCACUACUACUAGUACUACUACCACUACUACUACUAAGGACCACUCCCUCCUUAUAUGCAUUAUACAACUCGGUUACAUAACCUUUAACCCUUACUUUCUCCUCCCUUAUUUUGUCACAUCCAUAGCCGAGCUCUUCUAGAUUUGUCUCUAACAUAUCAAAUUUGUACCUCGGGUCGAGUGAUUGGGCCACAAAGAGAAUAUGAUUCACCUUUUCAAUGUCACCCCAAUAUUUGUCAAACUUGAGCUUCAUUGAGGUAGCCACACUUUGCAAAGUGGAAUUAGAGGCAUUUGAAAUUUGUUCUUCUAUCUCCACUUGCAAGGCAAUCACCGUGCUAAGUAUUAAGUGUGACGUUGGAGUAAGGGUUGUACUCAAUGUCAAGGUGGCAUCAUAAAUUUUUUUGAGAAAGUGAGCAAAACUCACCGACCUUUCCCAAUCAUCCACCUCCGGAUGACCCACCCGCUUAGCCUUUCUUGUCACCCCAUCAACCUCUUUUGAGACCUCCUCUUUAAAGUAAGCAAUAAAAGAGUCACACUCAAAGGCCAUCUUAGAGAACACUUCUUUAAACUUGAAAGCACUAUUAAGCAUUUGAUAUGUGGCAUUCCACCUUGUGACAACAUCAAAAGGGAUACUUGACAUCCUAUCAAAUCUCAACAAGACACAAUAUUCCCUAAAAGACUCCAACCUUGCCGGGGAUGAGUGUAUAAACUUCACACAAUUUCUUAUGGCAUCAAUCUCCCUACUAAGCUCCGUCAUUCCAUCCUUAACUAUCAAAUUAAGGAUGUGACAAGCGCACCUCAUGUGCAAGUGAGCCCCAUCAAGUAAAAGAGUACCAUUUGACUUGAGUCUUCUUUUCAUGUAUGCAAUAGCGGUGUCAUUUGCACUAGCAUUGUCAACGGUAAUGCUAAACACCUUGUCUAUGCCCCAAUCAUUCAAGCAAACCUCUAGACAUCUUCCAAUAUCAUCACCCUUAUGAGAAGUAACUUGGACAAAGUUUAGGAUCCUCUUAUGUAACCCCCAAUUAGUGUCCAAAAAAUGAGUCGUGAUGACCAUGUAGUUUAUCAUUUGAAUUGAGGUCCAAGUGUCGGUUGUAAUACUCACUCUCAACCCCUCAAUCACACUUUUUAUUUUUGCCUUCUCUUCAUCAUACAACUCCAAAACCGCCGCCGCCACCUUAUGCCUAUUAGGAAGUUUGUACUUUGGAUUCAAGUCACGAAUAAAAUCUCGAAAGUCCUCUUGAUUAACCACCCUAAAAGGCAUCUCUGCUAUUAUAAUCCACCUCACACAUCUCCUAUCAAGUCUUUUUUUAUUGAAAGUGUGAGUGACAACCGGACCUCCCAUCCUCGCUUGUGUCAAUGUAGGUUGGUUCGGAUCUACAUUCUCAAAGAGACUAGAACCCGGACAUUUCCUCAAAUGCUUAAGAAUUCCCGUUGUCCCAUGAGUUAUAGGGUGUGCCGGUACUAAGAGUUUGCAAUGUUUGCAUUCGGCCAUGUAAGAUUUCUCCCCAUUAUUAUCGGUGAUCGUUACCCUCUUAGCAUCAUUCCACACCGGACUUUGACCCUUUCUCCUAUUGCCCUUUUUCCGAGGAGGACCAUCCCAUUGUCUCACUACUUCUACUUCUUCUACUUCUUCUUCCCCAUCUUCUUCUAUCUGUUCUAAUGCAAUAUCCUCCUCCACAUCCGGAUCAUCAUCCCAACAAUCUUCAUAAUAAUCAUUAUGCAAAUAAUCUUGAGGUGAGGGAGUGCCUAGUUGAAGGGUACCACUAGGUUGGGUUUGUUUUCGCUUUCCUAAUACCGAGACCAUAUGUGUACUGGCUACUAGAUCCGUCCAUCCUACAAAUAAAAUAACAAUGCACAUUAAUAUAUCACAACCACAGUUCAGCAUAUAUCCAAAUUCCAAACAAUAAAUAAAAUCAAUGGUUCAAAAAUCUGAGCAUUCAACAUAGAAGUAUCGUGUAUUUGAAUUUAAACUAGGAAGCAAAUAAAAACCAGCUCGUUUCUAAACUAGGAGAAUAUAAGUAGCCCCACCCCCACAAAGAUAAUACAAACAUGAAAGUUGGAACCUACAAACAAGAGUUUUCAACACUUGUAGCGCUUGUAUGCUAAACCUUUAAAAGUUGCUCGAGAAUAAAUGAUUCAAGAAAAACAACCUGAAGAAUAAUAAUUCAAGAAAAUAAUUAGUAGAGAAUCAUAGUAGACUAACAUGCUUAACAUAUAUUGUGUUUUCAAACCAAUAUGGACAAUGCUUAACAUGCUUCAUGGAAUACUCAUCAUGCAAGUCUGUUGUGGUCUGUUGUGGUCUUACAGACAGUUUUCUAGGACUCGGACAAUUGAUGAACUGCAUAUGCUUAAAGGUUUCAUGGACUCGGACAAUUGAUGCAAUAUCACAGUAGUCGGCAAGGCCAAAGAGGCCAUUACGACGAGAGACCAAAACACAAAACAUCACCGUCCACUCAAAUUGGAAUAACGAUUGAUGCUGGCAUAGGUAGUGUGAGAUACUCGAGAGAACAAAUUCCAAACAAUUAAGCAAUGUUGAUGUUGCAAAAAUAGUAUCAAUCUUACUGCCAUAGUUCAAAACCCGGUUCGGCCUUGGGAGGGAUCAGAUAAGCAUUCCACGCAGAAGAAAUGGAUUGACAUUUAGUAGUAAACAAUACCGGCACCAACAAUCUCAGACAUGCUUGCAUUUACAAAUACAAUUAAAAUAUCACAACAAACAAAUGAGAGCACAAUGAUGAAGGACAAUGCACAACAAUGGCACUUGGUACCAUGAUAAUCUCAGGGGUUUAACAAAAUGUGGGAUAGUUCCAGGAGAAAAUUUGCAUAAUCCGUAUCCAUACUCGGCAAACAGGCAAAAACAAAAAGGAGAAAUUGAUUGGAUGAAAAACUAAGCGCAAUUUUGACACAAACAUCAAGUUUAAAUUCAAAACUAGAGAAACAAUCACAGGGGUCAUCAGAUAGGAGUGAAAGACAUGAAAUUUGCUUAAUCACAAAGAUUCAGUUGAACUAUUGCCUCAUGUCGCAAGAUAUUGAAUAACAAGUGCUAUAAGCCUAUAAAGGUCAGGGCCGUAACCCUCGAAUCAAUGCUCACUAGAAAACGACAACAGACUUGCCUAAAUUCUGUGAAGAGACAAAAUCGCAAAAGAAAAGAGAAAGAGCGAGAGGUGUGUGUGUGACAGUGAGAUAGAGAGAUUUCAGAAAACUAAAUUAAUUACCUAAUUUCAGAAAACCAAGUGAGACCGUGAGAGAGAUCCCCAGUUCUGUCCGUGAAAGAGAACCCUCGAAUCAAUGCAGUUCUGUGACCGUGUGAGAGAGAGAGAUCGCGAGAGAGAGUGGUGGUUGUGUGGUGAAGGAAGGUUGGAGAGUCAGAGACGAGAGUAUGGUGUGGUGGUGGGCCGGUGGCUGGUCGGAAUUCGACAGUCUGGUGAGGGACGACGUUGGUGAGGGCCGGAGGCUAAGGGUCAGGGCUGCAAUUCGAAACAAAUGAACGGAGGAACUGAAAUGUGAUCUGACCUAAAAACAAAUCAACGGCACAGAUUAAAUCUAAAACAAUCAACGGUUGAAAUAAUUCUCUUAUAAUUAAAAAAUUAUAUAUAUAUAUAUAUUUUUUCUUUUUCGGUUCGGUAUGGGAAUACCGAAAAAAUGAAAUGCAAUACCGAAUCCCAUACCGAAACUUUCGGUUUGGUUUGGGAUUACAUCCCGAAAAUUUCGGGAAUUUUGGUUUGGGAUCGGGAUUUUUGGUUUGGUUUGGGAUUUUUGGGAUUUUUUUCCAGCCCUAGUCCUAAGUUCAAAAUGCUAUGUGCGUGUUUAUUCUUUUCAAUUUUUAUUUGGUUGUAACAAAUUAGUCUUUCUGUGUUUUUAAAUUAUUGAUUUUGAAGUGAUUUUCUAAGUACAAUUUUAUCGAUGUCUUACGUGUGAAAAUAAAUAAUUUUCUUAUUUAUGGCACAUUUUUUAGCGUCGUCCCCAGUCUCAAAAAUCUCUGCAUCUCGUGAAAAUAAAUAAUGUCUUACGUGAAGAAAGUAUGAAGACCACAAAUGUUUUGAAUACUGCAUCUCGUAUAAAACAAGGAAGCAGUAGCCAAAUGACGAUGUCAUCGCCAAUCCCCACUAUAGCAACAGGGAGCAUCAGUCCCCACUGCAUCACGUUCGAUUCCAAACGUCAACGGCGGAAUGUUCUUCUCUAAAUCACCAAUUGUGCAGAAGAAAUGACGUCUAGAUCCUUCCCACCAAAUACCAAGAUGAGCCGAAGUGGGCUCUCACUGGAACAGAUGAAGAAAAGACAAUGAAAUUGUUUGCUGUAGGUUGCUACCUUCAAAGCUAUCUAAUUCAGGGAUUAAAAAUGCUAAGAGGCGAUCUGUAACAAAGAAUAGGGAUGGAGGUCCUCAUGUUCACAUGGUCCUAGCUCUGGCAAACGGGUCAUGUUUGUCAUGUUCGUGUUGUUUUCGUGUAACACUUGUUAUCUUAAAGGAUCGUGUUGUGUCACACCCGUUAUCUUAACGGGUCCUUAAUAGGUUGGGUCACCAUUAUGACCAGUUAAGAAAAAUAUAUUUUUUUUUCUUAAAUUUACACAUACCACACAUUGCCACAUAAAAUAUUACUUCAAAACAUUAAAACACAUUUGUCGUUUAAGUGCUACAUCUACACUCGAAAAUAAGAGCCUAAUAAAAAAACAUUCAUACACUAGUCUAUUACAAAAUAUUAAAUGUGCAAGGAUAUGCAAAAUGAAAGAAUUUUUGUUUUCGAGGUUGUGAAGCCUUUCUCAAAAGUUUAAACCUUGCCAAUGGAACUCAAAGCUUACAUGUUAUUCCUUUUACAAAAUCCUUAAUUUUCAUCAAUCAUCAUGAGGAAAUUGUAUUGGAACUUUGGGUUGAUCUAUUGCUUUCAAGAGUUAUGUUGAUGAUGUUUUCAGUAAGGUUUUCUACGUCAAAAUUCUUUUUCGCAUAAACUAAGUAUAGAAAAACCGAACAUUAAAAACCAUUCAAAUUAUGAAAAGUUUACUAAAAUAAUUAUGAAAAGAAAUAAAAAAUAGUACUAUACCAUAUAAAAAUAUAUUAGCCUCCAACCUAAUGAACAAUGGAUGGCUGAGAUUAAAUCUCAGCCGAUCCAAUGGUCACCAAUUUUAUAAAAUUUAAAUUAAUAUAUAUAACUAUUAGAGUUUGUAAGGGUAUAAAAUUGUUAAAUUAAUAUAUAUAAUUAUUAUAUUAUUUUUUUAGGGUUAUAAAAUUAUAAAAUUAAUAUUUUGCUUAUCGUGUAUCGUGUUACCCACGUGUAUACUCGAACCAACCCGUUAUUUUAACAGGUGCUUAUCGGGUUACCUAAUAAUGACCCAAUUCGUUAUCGUAUUGACCCGAACACCUGUUAAUUUCGUGUUGGGUUAUCUGGUCGUGUCAGGAAUUGUCAGGCCGUGGUCCCCAACAACCCAGGUCCUAUCUGCAGAGUGCUUAGGUCAUCUCAAAUGAAGAGGGCUAAAUGUUCAAAAGGUAAAAAAUGUCUUGAUUUAUUCAAAAUAUCAUCUUCAACCGAUGACUGGACUAAACUCUAUGAAGUCCACCAUACCAUUAUUUGGUCAAAGGAGCAUCAGGCUGGCCAAACGUAGCCCCCUUUUAGCCCUUUUUUUGGAGCCUAGCUUCUCAGUUACAAUAAUUGAUUCAAAUUCAACGACUAUAUCUGAAAACAUCUAACAUUAGUUUAAUUAAAUUAACUAAUAAAGCUAAAGUAUAAACUUAAAACUAAUAAAUAAUUGAGAAGCUAUGUUUAGUGUCUUGAGUUUGAGAUGAUAUAUGAAUAUGACCUGACAUUAUUUAUUUAAAUUUUUUUUUUACAGACUACAAUUUUGGACAAAAUUAGGUUUGAUUUUUUCGGUUAGAAAUGACCUUAGGCACUCAAAAGUCUAAUGUAUACCGCAAGCGUGAUCUCUCAAAAAGAAAAAGGGAGAAUCCAAAUAGCCUUAGAGCUUAAGGAGGGGUUUAUUUGAAAUCAAAAUUUUUUAUCCCUCUUUGAUGCCGUGGCAAGUAUGCAAGGAAACAAAAUUCCUUGCGGCAAAAUAAAAGCAUACCAAUUAGGAUUCAAUAUGAUCAAAGAAUGCCUUUGCCGCAUCUCCAAAUAAAUAGCUAAAAGAUGUUUAUUUUGUCUGCCAUGUGAAGUCAAAGUCCAAGUUCACAGAGAAGAGAAAAAAAAAAAAACUAAAGAAAAAUGUUUGAAAACUUUGAGUUUUAACAAUAAAAAUAAAAUAAAGAGUAAAUUGACCAGUACCAAGAUUAACUUUUUAGUGUCAAAAUAUGAGUUUUCAUUAAAGUAAACAAUACCAGAAGUUUUUCAUUAAAAUUCUCAAAAAAAAAAGGGUGUGAUUUCCAUACACUCCAUUUUACUUCUCACACACAUUUUGAAUUUUCGGUUGUUGGAUUUGAAGAAUAAAAAAUGAUUAACUAAAAAAAUUAUUAAGAAAUGUGUGAGAAGUAUAAUAAAAUGUGUGUAUAGCAUAGUAAAAAAAAAACUUGCCGACAACCUCCCAAAUUAAUUGGGAAAGAUACUCACGUGGCAACCUUUAAUAAAAAAAGGGCCACAGCUCUCAAAUUUGAAUUCAUGUGGUUUCUUUUAUAACUUUGGGCCUACCCUUUCCUAGAGGCUGUAAAUUUUGCAAGAAGAAGAAAGAAGUCUGCAAUAAAGUUCCCAAUUUUAUGGGGAAUGCUGCUCCCAUGGGAUAUUGCCCCACUCUAUGACACAAAGAUGCAUCAAAUUUCAAACGGCACAAAGCCUUUUCAAAUUUUAAAUGGGACAAAACGGAUUUAAAUUUCAAAUGGCACAAAAGCCGUAUCAAAUCUUAAAUAGAACAAAGUUGUUCCAAAUGACACAAAGUUCUUUACCUACACGAUUUAAAACUGCAAGGCACCAAAUCCAAACCAAAAUACUUUUUUUUUUAGUGGGUCAUUUACUCAUUAGAAAUAAUGAACUACGUUGGUUUGAUUCUACCAAGGAUACAUAGGCAAUCUAGAUAUUCAAUCCAAAUGCAAUUGUACAAAGACAAAAACUCAAAAUCGAAUCCAUGGUUCAUCUCAACCAAAUUCACCGUAAAAUCCAAAUCGAGUCCCUGGUUCAUCUCAACCAAAUUAACCACAAAGUCCAAAUCGAAUCUCUGGUUUAUUCAACCAAAUUCACUCAAAUAAAUUUUAAGUAUUCAAAUAAACAAACACAAAACCUUUUUUAGUGGGUCAUUCACUCUCUGAAAAUCCCAAACCAAAUCAUCCAAGAACAACGAGUGGCUUGAUCCCUCCAAAAAAUCACGUAGGUAAUCUAGGGCUUGACCUAAGUGCAACCGCAAAACCAAACAAACACCCAAAUCCCAAAGUUACGAUUUAUUCAUAUUGGAAUCAAAGGGUUUUUUUUUUUUUUUUUUUUUGAUGAAGGAUUGUAAUUAAUAGAUGCAUAGUCUAGAAUGGGCUAAAAUUAAUAAAACUCUCUUCGGAAAAAUGAACGAAGGUAAGAUUAUGUUUAGUGAAUUAUUUGUUACAUCUCUUGUCCAAUUUUUCUCAACAGAUGCAUUACCAAAUCUAAAGAAUUGAUUGGUUAUUAUUGACUAGUGCGAUUAAUCGGUCUCAAACUAUGUUUUCCAACAAAUACAGCUUGAUUAAUCUCGUUCAAUGUUAAUGGUUGCAACAAAAAGAAAGGGUCAUAUUUUCUCUUUUGGUUACAAGAACGGGCCAUAUUUUCUUCCUUUUAAAAGUUGUUCUGAUGAUAUAUUUAAGAAAAACAAACAAUAGGCUUUUCACAUAGAAGUCAUUGACAAAGUAGAUAAUAAAUAACAUUAUACAUUUGAAGAAAAUACACAAACUCAAUACUUCAGAAAAUGAACAACAUCUAUUAUACGUUAGAUAAAAAAAUACAAAUUUAAUACUUUGUAAUGGAAGAACGGCACAAUAGAAAUUUCACAACUAAAAAUUAUUAGAGCAUGUCAAUACUUUAAAAAAAAAAAACAGGGACUUGACUUUGUAAUGGGAAGGGCACAAAGAAAUAUCACAGCAAAAAAUCAAUUAAAGCGUGACAAAUAGGGAAAUGAGGGGUUCUUUUCUCUAAUCAAGCUCUUGAAGUAUUUUUGUAUAGAACUUAUAGUUUUGGAACAAAUAAUUGUACAUUAGAAAGGAUAGCUGAUAUUUUCAAUAAAAAUAAAGCUGAUUUUUAUUAAUCAAUGUUGAAGUUUUUGUGUAUAUUCUAUGAAGACAUAAGGGAAUAAUACUACAGUCUCCUCACAUAAAAUUCUCAGCUCUGUCAUUUUUCGUCAAUCUAUGAUUCACGCAAACGAGAAUUUGUCAAUGGAUGUAUGAUACACGUAAAUGAGAUCAAUUCAUAUGUGCAUUAAACAUACAGAGCUCAUGUGAGUAGAAAAGCAUAUAAUUUCCUUGCGUUUCCAUAACAUAUGCACACAAAAUUUCAUAUGUAUAAUUUCUCAUCUUCUAGUAUACCAAAAAGAAAGAGGAAAGUAACAUCUUCACAAUAAAUUUUCUUAACCAACUUACACUAGGCCUAUGAAUUCACUCGUAAUAAAAUUUGCACUAAAGAAAAAAUCAUCAUGCACUGUUCUAUAAUAAAUUAAACAAGGUUAAAAGGAGGACAAACUGGCUUUCUUUUAGAGCUAAUACCACUCUUUAGAAACUAUAUAUUUGAUCGCAUGAACAAUAAAGUCAUUGUACAAUUUAAAUUUAAAACUCAACAUUGAAAUUUUUAUGCAUAUUCUAUGAAAAAAUAAGGAAGUUAUACUAUUGUCUCCUCACAAGAAAAUGUCAACUUUGUCAUAUUUUGUGAGCUUGUAAUACACGCUAAAAUGGGAUGAAUUCGUCAAUGAACUAUUGAUACAUGUAAAUGAGAGAAAUUCGUAAGUCUAUUGAAAAUGAUGAAGCUCAUGUGAAUAGGUCAAACAUAUUUGUAAUCAUAUUAGCUAGAAUACAUAAGUUUCCCCUAACAACCAUUUUUGUGCAUAUUCUACGAAAAUAUAACAAAAUUAUAUGAUAUUUUCCUCACAGGAAAUUCUUAGCUUUGUCAUUUUUCGUUAACCCAUAAUUCAUGCAAACAGGGUCAAUUUAUCAAUGGACGUAUGAUACACAAAAGAGAUCAAUUCAUAAGUGCAUUGAACAUGACAACCCAUGUGAGUGGAGAAGUAUAUAAUUUCCUUAUGUUUUCAUAGCAAGUGCACAAAAAGUAUUAAUGUUGUUAAAUAAAUCUUAUAUGUAUUUAAGUAUAGUUUCUUAUCUUCUAGUAUACCAAAAGGAAACCAUAUAGUAGCAUUUUCACAAUAAAUUCUCUAACUUACACUAGACCUAUGAAUUCACUCGUAACAAAAUUUGAGCUAAAAGAAUCAUCUUGCACUACACACAAAUGAAAUAAAUAAGGUCAAAAGGAGGGCAAAGUGACUUUCUUUUAGCGCUAAUAAUAGUGUGAAUACAAAAUUUUCCUGAAACGAAAGAGACAAGAACAACGUGCACAAACAAAUAUUUGUAUUUGAUGAUUUUAGGGUUACAAUCUCUCUCAAAUUUGAUUUUCUGAUUCGAUCUCCGUAAGGUGUUGAUUUGUGGAUGUUUCGUUGAUCCAAGGGCCGUUGAGGCUUGAUCUUGGAUGAACUGUUGGAAGUUUCUUCAAGGGGCCGUGGGCUUGAUCUUUGAAGGUGGAUUUGAGCGGAUCUUCAAGGAGCCGUUGGGGCUUGAUCUUGAGGAUGAAUGUUUCUUCAAGGGCCGUUAAAGCUUGAUCUUGAAUAACGGUGAUGAACGGAUCUUCAAGGGCUUUUGGGCUUGAUCUUGAAAAACAAUGAUGAACGGAUCUUCAAGGGCUUUUGGGCUUGAUCUUGAAGAACGGUUGGAUGUAUGGAUUUGUCGACGUUUGUUGAUCCAAAGGGCCGUUGGGGCUUGAUCUUAGGAUGAACGGAUGAUGAACGAUGGUGCUUUCUUCAAGGGCAGUCGGGGCUUGAUCUUGAAUUGGUGGAAGUUCUUCAAGGGCUUUUGGGGCUUGAUCUUGAAUUGGUGGAUUGUUGAUCCAAGGGCCGUCGGGGCUUGAUCUUGGAAGAACGAUGAACGAAGAACGAAGAGAGCUUUCUUGAUUCUUCGGGAACCUGGAUGCUUGAGAGCUUCGGAGUUUCAGAGCUUCAGAGCUUCAAGAAUUUUGCCUAAUGAUUUUGGUUCCUCUAAAUGAAUGAAUUAGCCUUCUAUUUAUAGAAAUUUCCAAGGCUUAAUUUUGAAUAUAAUAUUCCAGAUGAAAUAAGUCGUUUCUGCCAAGUGUUGACACGUGUCAUGUUUGAUGACUUUUCCAACUUAUUUUGGUUUUUUGUUUAGACACACGCUACGUGUAAAAUUUAUGUAAUACAUGAGCGUUGAAACUUUGAUUUAUCGGUCAACAUUUAUUUACCGAAAUUUCGAUGUCUACAAAUAGUUCUUCUAAAAAUUAUAUAUUUGAUUGCAUGAACAAUAAAGUCAUUAUACGAUAUAAAUUUAAUAUUGUACAAUUUAAAUUUAAAACUAGUAAGAAAAUUAUACUUACAUGAUCUACAAGAUUUAUUAAUCAAUAUUGAAUAUUAUUGUGCAUAUUCCAUGAAAACAUAAUGAAAUAAAACUAUGGUCUCCUGUAUAAAAUUCUCAACUCUGUCAACUUUUAUGAGCUUGUGAUACACGCUAAAUGGGUGAAUUCUUCAAUAAACUUUUUUUUUGUGGGCAAACUGAACUUUUGAUACACGUAAAUGAGAUGUAUUCUUAAAUUUACUAAAAAUGACGAAGUUCAUGUGAGUACACAUGAGCAUGUUAGAAUACAGUUUCCUUGAUAAAUAAGCUUUUAUAUGUGUACAAGUAUAAUAUUUUCUCCCUUAAACAGAGGGCAAUUUUGUCAUUUUAUGAAAAUUUAAUCAUAAGGGCUUUAUAGAGAGAUUGCCGGCAAUGAGAUUCAAAUUUAAGUCUUAGUCUAGCGAAGAAAACGAUCAUUAUCACUCUCAAAAUUAGAACACCGUGCCAUAAUAAGUAAUUGAAAUUUAUUGAAUUAGCUAAGCUAGUUGCAUGUUAGUUAUCUCUUUACCAUUUCUUCGAAGUCGGGAAACGGAACCAUGAAGGGAAAGAAGGCCAAAUGUCAGUUAACUUUGUUGAGGUCGCCCACUACGCUUUUGUUUACUUGGCUCCGACGCGUGCGGGCUCGGAUUGCAGGACGUUUUCAAGAAACGAUACAGUAGAAUAGCGAUUUCGCAACCAUUUCAUAUACAAUUCACGGUGAGUGCGAUGCAUCAUCAGCUUUGUCAAUGCAUGACUUUUAUGGAUGUUUUUUUGUUCUGAAGUCCUACCAAAUGACAUGAUAACUGACACACUCCGACUGGAAUUAAGGCGUGAUGGCCGUCACGUGAAGGUGACGUAAUCAAAGUGCAAGUGAUGAAAGAAAAUUGUGAAUAAAUUAAAACCAAAACUAGGAAUUAAUUAAGGAAAACUAAUGAAAAUGGCUUGAAAACUUUGAGUGUUAACGAUAAGGACGAAAUAAAUGGUAAACUGAAUAGUACAAUGAUUGACUUUUCAGUGUAAAAAUGUGGUUUUUUUGUUAAAGUGAACAGUAUUGGGAACUUUUCGUUAAAGUUCCCAAUUAAUUAACUAAGAACGUGAGUGCGCAAUAGUGGUUACAACUCAUAACUACAAAUAUUCAGAGCAUAGAUAACAUGAGGGUAAAACAGUAGAACGAGAGAAAUACUUAUUACACAACUAGAGAUAAGUUCCUACGUUAAGAUGGAGAUAUGUCAUAAUCCACCAACUAUUCCUCGUACGCCACAUAGAUUAAUCAACUAACUAGGACAUGGAGGAGCGAAAAACAGAAGGGUGAGUGGGCACAAAAAUAAAGGUUUAUAAAAUCCAUUUACUUUUCAAUCAUACUAACUCCUCACUGUAAAACAAGUAUAAUUUUCAAAAUAUCAUACUAUGUAUAAGUAUGAAAAUCAAAUGCAUGCCAAAUGUAAGUCUAGAAGUAUGCCACAACAUAUGUUCUCAACAACAGUAUAGAUAUGAUUAUGUGCUGUAAAUUGUAAUUUACACUAAUCGGAGUCACCUAAUGUGACAUGUACAACUCCACCUAUCACUCAUCAGUCAUAUGCUAACACAGAAGUCGGAGUCACCUAAUGUGACCUAUACGACAUGACUAGGUGUAAUAAUAAUCGCUCUAGUGCUACGGUCACGUGAAGACUAGCACUAUGCUUGGGUCACCUACGAGUCGGAGUCACCUAAUGUGACUUGUACAACAGGACUAGCACCUACUUAGAUCCAUGGCAAGCGUGCGGUGCAGGAGAUAAACAUACACAUGAAGGACUAGCCCUGUCCUUGGGCUGGAGUACUAACACCGGGGUGUAGCAAUGAUGAGCAGACUAUAUGUAAGCAUGCCAUAAUGAUUCAACCAUUCAAUUCAUCACAUAACCUUACCUGGACUUACUUGCAUGUACCGCAUUCACAUUAGCAUUUCAAACCAUGCACAUCAAUUUCAUGCAGGUAAUAUGCAUAUGGAUAUGCCAUGAUCAUGGAAGAAAAUAUCGAUAAUAUCGGCGAUAUAUCGCCGAUAUUAUCGGUUUUUUCCCGAAUCGAUAUUUUAAAUGGUAUCCAAGGUGUUUUCGUCAUAAUAUCGCGAUAAUAUCGAUAAUAUCGCGAUAUUAUCGAUAUUAUCGCGAAAUUUCGGAACUGUGCACGUCGGAGACGAACGUCGGAGCUUCUACAGCUCCGGCCGACUGUAAAACUGCUCCCUAGCCUCGCCGGAGAUGGGUGUACUUAUUCCCGAGUCGAUUUCAUCCCAAAAACCUUGCAAAAACACGACAUAUAACUUCAAUUUCACAUCUAAGCUUCGAUCUAGAAUAUAAAAAGAAAAACCCGAAGCUUACCUACCUGAGAAAUUGAAGGAACUCGCCGGAGCAGGUGCGAUGGUGUGCGUGUGGGUCUCGGUGCAGAGAAAAGAGAGAUCUCUGUGUGAGUGUGUGUGGUUGGACUGGGAGAAGGGAGAAGAAAGAUCGAGAGAUCUCUGUGUGAGUGUGUGUGUGGUUGGACUGGGAGAAGGGAGAAGAGAGAUCGAGAAGGAUCUCUGUGUGAGUGUGUGUGUGGUUGGACUGGGCGAAGGGAGAAGAGAGAUCGAGAAGGAUCUCUGUGUGUCGUUGAAGAAUCCCCAACCUUUAAGAGACAAACCAGCAAGCACCUCCCUCGACCCACCUCGUUCCUCCGCCGCAAACCUACCACGUGUCCUCAUCCAACUUCUCUCCUCUGUCAACCCACCGCUGUUCCACUGUCAACUUCACCGGUAUUCCUCCGUCGGCCCCGCUUCCGCCUCGUCCUUCAAUCUCUCUCCUCCAUCGAAGUAGGUCCAUAAGAAUUCAUGAAAGGGAGGGGAUCUUUGUUCUUAGUGUAUAGUGUGACGACGCUGCACUGAUACAAAUCUGUGAUGGCAUAGGAAAAGACAAGGACGAUGCGGGAUGGAGCAGAGAGGAAGUGAAAAUGGAUUAUGGGGUGUUUGGAUGCCUAGGUAAUUGGAUAAACAGGGUGUUUGGCUGCAUAGCUUAAACAUAUAAAGUAGUACACGUGUUCUCUUUUAGUUGAGCCAUAUCAAUGGUCAAUGAAAAUUGGGUACCCACUUGUGAGUACCAAGUAUUAUCCGUGGACGGGAGACUUAAACAAACAAAACCAUUGGCUUUGAUGUUUGUAACUUGUAAUUAUGAGGUGGACAUGUGACGUGAAAGAUGUGAGGUGCACCUCUGAUGGUUUUAACUUUUAAUAAAUGUUAUAUAAAUUAUAAAUUAUAAAUUAUUUAGAUAAUAUUUUGUUUUUUUUACUAAGCAAGCAAAUUAUAUUCGAACCCUCCCUUUGUCAACCACGCACUUAGGCUUUAUCCAACUUGCUAUAGAUGUGUUUGUGAUUACAUAUUCAGCCUGUAAUAUUUAUAUGGUCGUUAAGAUGUCUGCAAGGCUUGCAAGCUAAUAUUUAUUAUCUAGGAUAAAUUUCUAUAUUUUAAAAAACACAAAGGUGAAAAUUUUGAACCUCAUAGGAACUCUAUGUGGUACUAAGUCACUCAUGUAUGUUACCAUGCAAUGUAUAAAGUGUAAAAUAUUGUACUAAUUCAUUAUAUAUAAAUGAUUAUGGUGUGUUUAGACUUCUUUCAUUAAUUACUACAUAUUUUAUACACUCACAAUGUUUGUCAGCUCACUAUAUAAUCAACUUGAUAAUGUUAAAUCCAUCAUGCAAUGCAUUUCCUUCCAAUUUUUUGUGAUAAACUAAUAGAUAAUUGACUAAAUAAACAUCCUGCAAAGUUUCAAUAAAAAUUUCCAAGUUUUUCUUACAAUUUCCGUGGUUUCCAUGUAAUUUUUAUCGAUAUCGAUAUUAUCCCGAUAUUUCCAUCGAUAUUUCCGUGUUUUCGGACUACCGAUAUUUCCGAUAUUACCGAUAUUUUCUUCCUUGGCCAUGAUGCAAUAAAAAACUCAACCAUGUCAUAGCAUUUAGAAAAAUAUAUAAUUCAUGGCAUAAAUGCAUAAAACCAUUUUAAAACAUUUAUGGAAACUAUGAGGUAUAUACAUAAUAUACAAAAAUAAAAUGCCCACUCACUGGUAUGUCAUAGGAUUGUAGACCCCUAGUCUCGCUUGUCCACAUACGUCCUCAGGGUAAGUUUCCCCUAUAUGCGAAACAACAAUUUAUAAUUAAUUAAUAAGGACAUACGCUAAAAACUAGGAAUAACUUCCCAUAAUUUGCUUAAACGGAGGGUUCGAAUAUAUGAAAUCAAUUUACUUGACGUCACAGACCUACACGUAAAAACCACUCGCUGGCCGAAGGCCAGACGCACCCUCAUGACCGCCCAACCCACAACCACACGUGCAGCCACGCAUAGGCAUGUGCAUGGUAGGUGACUAAUGGAACAUAGGAAUAUUUUGUCAGAAUUGACGGAAUAUUCUGUUAAAUAGUAAUGAACGUUAACAGCGUUACCUGACGUCAUUAGACGGAAUAUUCUCCUUCUUCUCCAGUCGCUCUUGCCGUUCACAACUUGAAUUUUCGCCGGAAACUGGAAAAUUUUCAAAUCUUUAUAUCUUGCUCAAUUCUCAACCAUUUUUCACGAAAUUUAUAUGGAUUUGAAGCUCAUGAUGAAGGGAACAAAAUCAUACCAUUUGAAAGUCGAAAAACGAUCAGAGAUUGGCCUGAAAAUAGCUCAAUAGCUCCGGCCAAAAAGUCAACCUCUUGAACUCGCUUGUUUCGACUUCAAUGCUUCACGAAAACUAGUCUAGGGACCUUAGGGAGUUGCGUGGAUGCUUCCAAAACCUUCAAAACUUGGUAACUCGACCGCGAUCAUGUUGACACAAAAACCAUCGAGUCGAAGCUUUCGAGUUGCUCUUUGUUGAUGCACAAAACCGAAGGUCUUGGAAUAACGUAAAUCCGACCGUGAAUCUGCAAGAAAGUAAAGAACACAAGAUGUAUCGUGGUUCACCCCAAUGUUUGAGCUACGUCCACACUAAUGUUGAUAUUGUUUCACUCUGAAUGGUGAAUACACAAGAAGACUAGAGGCAGUGUGCUCUCUAGCCUAUUUUUUGUGUGCUCUCUUCCCAUGGCCUAAAACUUGGCCUCCCUUAAUGAGGAGAGUGAGGAGUCCUUUUAUAGAAUAAGGGCUCCUCACUUAUUACAUAUUCGCCCCUUCAUUUAUUACAUAAUUACAUUUGAGUCCCCCGAGUAUUUAUACGAGGUCUAAAUACGGAAGCCCUAAGUAUGGUACAAACACUCUUCGUUGACCACUCAAAACUCAACCAACACGUGAUCUGAGGGUAUGGUUAAGUUCGUGGUGACGAGAAGAGUCCAAAUAUGUGGUUUUCAGGUUCGAUCUAUUAAGAGAUGGUGGUGGUCUUCUUUGUUGCAGAGAAGAGCGAGGUACGGGUUUGAGAGAGAAAAGGAGAUGAGAGAGAGAAAUGAUGGUUUUUGAUUAAGCAGAGAGAAGGAGAGUCUGAUUGGGUGCCAGAAAGAGGGAAGAAGAUUGAUUGGUGAAAAACAUAAGGCACAUACCAAAUUUUAAAGAAGUAGAAGGAUAGGUUUUUACAGAUUUCCCACAGUAAAAGCAAAUCAGAAAAUCUAUUCGGAAUAGUGUUUCUAACACAGAUAAAAUUAACGUACACUCGUAACAACGAGUACAAUUUAUUACGAUAGCGAGAAUACUAAUUUAAGAGCUAAUAAAUACGUCCACGUCACUUGCUAACAAGGGCAUAAACAAUAAUUUACAUAUUCGGGGAGAAAUUACAUAGAAAAUUAGGGACGGGUCGUCACAAUAACUCUAACAACUACUCACAAGAAAUAUAUAUAUAUAUAUAUUUAUUUAUUUAUUUUUAAAUGAAAUUAUCUACCCUAAGAGAAAGGGAUGGGUUUAGUAUCACAAUGAGCUAGCAAUAGUGUGGUUCAAAUUCGCCUUUGACAAGAAUCAAACCUAAAAUCUCUCACUUACAAGUAAAGAGGAAUACCAUUAGAUCAUAGUAUUAAGUGGCAAUAUGAACAAGAAAUAUUAAAAUAUGUUUGAUUAUUAUUUUUAAACUCUGGAGUUUUAUUUAAAGGAAAACUAAUGAAAAGAGUUUGAAAACUUUGAGUUUUAAUGAUAAGGACAAAAUAAAGGGUAAAAUGAAUAGUACCAGGAUUGACUUUUUAGUGUAAAAAUGUGGUUUUUCGUUAAAGUGAACAGUACCGGGUGCUUUUCGUUAAAGUUCCCUUUAUUUAAUUUAAAAGCUAAAAAUUUAUUUAAUAACUAAUUUGAAUUUUUUAAAGAAUAAAAAUUAAAAGUCAAAAUUUAAAACUUAAAGAAUUAAAAGAAAAAAAACUUAAAGAAUUAGCUUUAAAAAACUGCAUAAUUGAAAGUAGUUAUCUAAUAAAUUUCUAAUUUUUAAAAAGACAAAACAAAAAUUGAAAGUGAAAUGAUAAUCAAUUGGCCUUGUAGCUUUCAGUUUUCAUAUUUUAGAAUAGAAAACUGAAAGCAGUUACCAAAAGAUUUUUAGUUUUAAAAAAUAACUACAAACAAAAAUUAAAUAUGAAAUGAUUAUAAAAUGGUCCCUCAACGUUCUAAAGGCCAACUUGGCUAAACAAGUUGCGACCAUAGUGGUGGGUUUGACAGUGAAAAAUGUACGAGAAGAAGCAAACGAGUGUAUCUAAACUCAAAAGGUCGAGAUUGCACUCAUGAUGAAAUAGUCAAACACUUCAGUAAUUAUACACACAAAAAUUGCAAUAUAACAAACAUAAAGACACUAUUUGACAAUAAGUAGUGCUGGCUUGAAGAGGAACUAGCAAUGAACCAACUAGUGUCUACCUAUGUCAAUUUUGUUCGCAACAUCUAUCAAGAACAGUGAAGUAGACCCAAGAGAUGCCAAUAACACACCAACGCAAAACUAAAAAUACUCACUAGGAGAGACUUACAAAAAACAACCUCACCAAGAAGCCUCUUAUUGACUUUAAUAUUAAAAUGAAAAAUAAAUCUACGACAGUCCAGAAGAAGAGAAAAUAGUAAAGCUAGGAGAGGGGAGAGAGGGGCUGUCACCGGCCACUAGCUGGAGCAAGGAGUCAUUUGUAGGUGAGAGGAGAGAGAGGCUAGCAGCAGUUUCUCAUAUCUUAGCAUUCCAAGAGUCCAUGCUUUCGAGUUAUAGUGACAAAAGAUAAAGCAAAAACAAUUGUAAUUUAAACAAGGUCUUUGUGCAGAAAAUUGACGACGUCCACAAUUGUUCAUCAAAAUUUCUGAUUGCUGGCCAGGUCCUAUAGUAGAGAAAAUGAAUAUCGACUAUUGCCAUGAUUUGGUGGAACUGCCUGCCGAGCUCUGUGAUCUUGUUCAUAUGAAGAUGCUCAGUAUCACCAACUGCCAUAAGUUAUCUGCCUUGCCUGAAGAGAUCGGAAAGCUGGAGAAUUUGGAUGUACUGCGACUAAGGUCCUGUACAGACUUGGUAAGGCUUCCGGUCUCGAUUGAGAACCUUGCUAAGUUGUGCUGUCUUGACAUGUAUGAUUGUUUUGGCAUUAGGAAGUUGCCUGAAGGCAUUGGUAAUAUGAGCGGUUUAAGAAAGAUCUACAUGGGACAAUGCUCAAGAUUGAAAGAGUUGCCUCUGUCAGCGUGGGAUCUUGACGAGCAGUUAGAGGAAGUGAUUUGUGAUGAAGAGAAGAAACAUUUGUGGGAAUCCUUCUUAGCCAGAGACAAAAUCAAGGUGGCAAAAGAAAAACCAAUCUGAAUUGGCUCGGAAAGCCUCAGUUGUGAGACCUGUCUUUCCUCAAUAAAUGAAGGAGCAACGCCAAUCUGAAUUAGCUUUCAUCUUCUUGUUUGAUUUUUCUUGUUUGAUUUCGUUCUUUGGUUCUGUUCAAUUUCUAUGUUUCAUCACAUCAGUUUGUAAGACUAUUUAUAUCAAACUCUCGCGUCUCAAGAAAUUUCGUGUUAUUUUUUCUUGUGUAAUUAUCAUGUUAUUGUUUUACACAAUAUAAAUCAUGUGUAUUAUAUUUUCUUGGAUUGUACAAAAAAUACGUUUUUACUGCACCUCAUAUGUCAAUUUUUUUUUAUUUUUUAUGGGGCUCAUAUGUAAAUCAUGCAUCUGGUUAUAUCUAUAAGUUUUCUUUCGUUGCUUACUCUGGUAUAGAUAUUAGGGUAAUGCUAGAGAUAUUAAAUUUGGAGACAAAAUUUGGAAACUAAAUAAUGUAUCACCAAUAAAAAUGAGCACGUUUAUCAACGGUUAAGUAAUAAAUCAAUUAUCAACUUACAUAUCAUUUAAUUUUUAAAAUUUUAUCUACAUAUUUAGUCUUUCUAGCAUUACUCUAGAUAUUAUAUAUUAAGAUAUUUUAAGAUGUAGUUUACCAUAUUUUAAUUUAAUGCAUGCAUAUAAUCGAUAUGCCAUUUAUAUGCUACUACAGUUGAUAUUGUCGAUAUUGCAAAGUUAAAAUUUUCAAAAUAUGAUCAGUAGUGCUCGAAGAGCAGUUUACUGCAACGUAGAAAGAAUGGUUAAAAUUUGAGGAAAAUGAUCAUCGUGAAUCCUUUUCUUAGGGAUUUCGUGAUCGGGAUCGUUCAUUGUACAUCGUGCAGUCAGUUUUCGUUAUGUGCUAUUUAUAUUUAAUUUUAAAUUUUAAAAUAAUUUCUAACCGAACUAUAUACGAUGGACCGCUUCGAUCAUGGGAUCUCCAGGAUCUCCAGAAAAGAGUUCCGUAGAGGAUUCUUUUCCAAAAUUGAUAUUUAUUGCUCAUCGGUUCGUGGUUAAAUAUUGACCGUUUAUUGCUCAUCUUUAUGCUUUUGUCUCCUUUCGAAAGUUGGUUUCACAAUUUAAUAAUAUGUUAGGUGGGUUCUCUCUUUCACUGUGAAAGAUUCCCACACACGAUGCAGUUUCGUGGUGACUUUCCAAGUCUCCCUCCACACUCCAACUCGGAAAUUUCCCAGACAUGGUGGUGCAGCUACUGUUGAAGUCAACGCGCUCCAGCCCCGAAAUUUCUAUCGAGCUUCAAUAGUAAGUAUUUAUAUUGCUUGAUCUCCAACAACGAAAGAGAAAAUCCUAACUUUGUAUUGCUUGUUUUCUUAAUCUCUUUAUUUUGGAAACCAAAUUUAUGUGGCUCACUUUUCUACAGUUUCUAAUCCGUUAUUGUUUUGGGAAAGUGGCUAUGGUCCGAAAUCAAAUCUCAAAUUCUCAAUUCUUAUAAAGUAUCGGCGACAUACUGAAAACUGAUAAUUUCCGCAAUGGGGUGAAAAAUGAUCGUUUCGGCCAAUUUUCCUCUACUUUUGUAAGUUUUUUCUGAUUUUGGUGUUGGUUUUUGUUGUUAAGAAUCAAGGAAUGAAUGGAGCAGGCGGCCUUAUCGGCGGGGCUGCUCUCGGAACAGCGUUCAAUGUGCUGUAUGAUGUCCUCGAUGAGCUGAUUACCAAGAAUGUAAUUUUUAAGCCCCUCCUCAAAGAGAUCAAAUCCAGGUUAGACUCUUUGGCACCAUUGUUGAAAGAUAUAGAAAAAUCCAACAAGAAAUUGGAUCUAUCGGAUAAGGAACUGGUAAACUUGAAAGAACAUUUGGAGGAGGGCGUAGAGGUCGUUCAGAAGUGCAAAAAGGUUCGAUGGUGGAGCGUGUACAAAAGAUACAAAUACGCCAACAGGCUGAUUGACUGGGAUGGAUCUCUUCAACGACUUUUGGAAAUACUAAACGUUCAGGGAAUAAGGGAUAUGAAGGACAGCUCCCUUUCGGUGAGGAAUAUAGAGAAUGCGCUCAGCAGAAUUGAAUCGAAUAUGGUGAUACCAAAACAACCCGACAGUGAAGCUUGGUGUGCAGUACCUCAACUUCCGCCGCUUGUGGUUGGAUUGGAUGUUCCUCUAAGGGAGUUGAAGAGGAUUCUUCUAAAGGACCAAAAUGUUUCAAUGGUUGUGCUGACUGCUCCCGGAGGAUGUGGGAAAACUACUUUGGCUACAAAGUUUUGUCAAGACACGGAUGUCAAAGGUAUCAUAUAUUAUACGUUAGCACUCGGAAUUGUAUGUGUUUUUUUUUUCUUUGUACAACUAUGGCAGAUUUAAAUGACCCCUCAAUGACAGACUUGUUAUGUUUAUUUUGAAUAGAUACAUUCAAGGAUAAUAUCUUCUUCGUCACGGUUUCGAAAAAGCCUAAAUUGGAAAAUAUUGUUCACGAUCUAUAUCAACGCAAGGGUUUCCCGGUACCUACUUUCCAAAACGAAGUCGGUGCAGUGACGUUGCUGCAACUUUUUCUGAAGGAAGUAGGGCAGAAUCCUUUACUGCUUGUCCUGGAUGAUGUUUGGUCUGGAUCAGAAUCCCUUGUGGAGAAGUUUCAUCAAAUCAAAACGGAAAAUCACAAGUUUUUGGUGACAUCUAGGUCUGAAUUUCGGGGAUAUGGUAUCCCUUAUCAUUUGCAAUCAUUGGAUCAUGACAAUGCGAUGAAGCUUUUUCAUCAUUCAGCAUCCCUUGGAGAUAAGAGCUCUCAUAUUCCAAAAGAUCUUUCAGAAAAGGUACUUUUUAGUUGCAAUGCACAAAAUGUAUAGUCAAAAGUUAGUUGACUUGGUCUUGGAAAAUUAUCAAGAUAUUAUGCUCACCUUACGCAAAGCAUCCACAAUCGAGUGAAUGAACAUAUCCAUUUGCCAUAUAAACCUAUGAUUAAUCAUGCAUUUAAGCAUACCUACUUGUGGCCUAAAACUAAAAUUACAAUAAUGUAGAUAGCUAUUUAGCCAUUUUCUCAUCUUAGUAACUUGAAUUUUGGUUCUGCAAUUUAAAAGGUAGUUGACUUUGUUUUGGAAAAUUAUCCUGCAGAUAGUUGAGCGUUGCAAGGGAUUUCCACUUGCCAUUACAGUGGUGGGGAGAUCGCUUUGUGGGGAGCCUAUAGAGAUAUGGCAAAAAAGAGUAAUUGAAUGGUCCAAAGGUUUUUCUAUUCUUGAUUCAGAGACUGAAUUGCUUUUGUGCCUUGAACGAAGCUUGGGUGCCUUGGAUAAAGAAAUGGCUGCCAUCAAGGAAUGUUUCUUAGACUUAGGUUCAUUUCCGGAAGACCAAAGAAUUCCAGCUGCUGCCCUCAUUGAUAUCUGGGCAGAGUUACAUGAUGUAGAUACAGAUAUAGAGUGCAUUGCAAACCUGUACGAGCUAACCAAACGAAGUCUAGCCAAUCUUCUUGUUACAAGGUGUGCAUGCUUUGUUUUCUCUUGUAUAAUAUUUUCGCUUUUUUUUCCCCCUUAUUAUAUUCACGACUGGUUGAUGCUAAUAACUUGUUAUUGCAAUAUGUUGGUUAAAGAAAUCUCUUCUAAGAAAAUUAGUUUUGAUCAUGACCAGGAAGGACAAGAUGGAGGGGGACGGAUACUAUAGUGAGCACUUUGUUACCCAGCAUGAUGUUCUUCGGGAGCUGGCUAUCUACAACACAAAAAAGGGACCGGUUGAACAUAGAAAAAGACUGAUUAUUGACAUAUGUGGAGACAAUCUUCCAAAAUGGUGGAGAGAACAGAAGCAUCAGCCGAUGAAGGCCCGCUUAUUAUCCAUAACAACUGGUUGUUCCAUCUCUCCCUUUCUCUUUAGCAAUUACAUAGACAUGCACAAAUAACUAGUCAUCCUUGCACACACUCGGUCGUGCACACAUUAAGUAAUGGUUUCUUUUUAGUUUCUGCUCCUCACACUUAUGGUUGUUACUUUGCAGAUGAAGGGUUUUCAACUAAAUGGCACAAAAUGCAAAUGCCAGAAGUUGAGGUUUUAGUAUUGAAUUUCCAGACAAAGAACUAUGGUUUACCCGAAUCUGUGGUGAACAUGGAUGAAUUGAAGGCUGUGAUAGUCACAAAUUAUGGUUUCUUACCUGCUGAAUUGAGUAACUUCCAACUUUUGAGUUCGUUACCAAAUCUUAAGAGAAUCAGAUUAGAACGCAUCUCAAUUCUUUCCAUAACCAAGAAUCCCAUACAAUUGGCGAGUCUGAAGAAGAUAUCCUUGUUCAUGUGUAAUAUUGGUCAAGCUUUCAAUAACUGUUCCAUCUCAAUCUCAUCAGCAUUCCCGAAUCUAGAGGAAAUGAACAUCGACUAUUGCAGUGAUUUAAUUGAAUUACCCGCCGAGGUUUGUGAUCUUAGUAAACUAAGGAAGCUCAGUGUCACCAACUGUCAUAAGUUAUCUGCCUUGCCUGAAGGGAUUGGAAAGUUGGAAAAUUUAGAAUUGUUGAGGCUAAGAUCCUGCACAGAACUGUCAAAGCUUCCAACCUCGUUGAAGAACCUUGGAAAGGUAAACUUUCUUGAUAUAUCUGAUUGCUUCAGCAUCAAGGUGUUGCCCGAAGACAUUGGUGAAAUGAGUAGUUUAAGAAAGAUCAACAUGAGGCAAUGCUCAAGGUUGCAAGAGCUACCUCCAUCAGUCAUGGAUCUUGAGCAGUUAGAGGAAGUGGUCUGUGAUGAAGAGACAAAAGAUUUAUGGGAAUCUUUCUCGUCGUGUCUCAACAACGUAAGGAUAAUUGUGGACAAAGAGAAUAUGAACCUAAAUUGGCUCCACAAGACUCACUUCUGAUAUGUGUAUCCUCAGUGAACGUUGUUCUUCAAACUCUGGUGUGUGUUUUUAGUGGGACUUGUGUAAACUCGACUGUAACAUAGUUUCUGUUGGUGUAUAAAUUGUAUCUGAUGUGACAGUUAUAAUUCUAGAUUAUAUUGCUAGAAUAAUUAGUUAAGUGCUGAUUUGGUUGUAUCUUGUUUCUGUUAGUGUGUAAAUUGUGAUUUGAUGUGACAGUUAUAAUUCUAGCUUAUAUUGCUAGAAUAAUUAGCUAAGUGCUGAUUUGGUUGUAUCUUGUUUCUGUUAGU